rnacentral:rRNA from 1 species
UGUUCCUACGGGAGGCAGCAGUGGGGAAUAUUGCACAAUGGGGGAAACCCUGAUGCAGCGAUGCCGCGUGGAGGAAGAAGGUUUUCGGAUUGUAAACUCCUUUUAUCAGGGACGAUAAUGACGGUACCUGAAGAAAAAGCUCCGGCUAACUACGUGCCAGCAGCCGCGGUAAUACGUAGGGAGCAAGCGUUGUCCGGAAUUACUGGGCGUAAAGGGCGCGUAGGUGGGCGCUUAAGUCAGGUGUGAAAACUCCGGGCUCAACCUGGAGACUGCACUUGAAACUGGGUGUCUUGAGGGCAGGAGAG